rnacentral:rRNA from 1 species
AUUGAACGCUGGCGGCAGGCCUAACACAUGCAAGUCGAACGAGUGGCGGACGGGUGAGUAAUGUCUGGGAAACUGCCUGAUGGAGGGGGAUAACUUCUGGAAAAGGUCGCUAAUACCGCAUACCAUCAGAUUGGCCCAGAUGGGAUUAGCUAGUUGGUGGGGUAACGGCUCACCAAGGCGACGACCCCUAGCUGGUCUGAGAGGAUGACCAGCCACACUGGAACUGAGACACGGUCCAGACUCCUACGGGAGGCAGCAGUGGGGAAUAUUGCACAAUGGGCGCAAGCCUGAUGCAGCCAUGCCGCGUGUAUGAAGAAGGCCUUCGGGUUGUAAAGUACUUUCAGCGGGGAGGCGUUACCCGCAGAAGAAGCACCGGCUAACUCCGUGCCAGCCGCCGCGGUAAUAC